rnacentral:rRNA from 1 species
UACGUAGGAUCCGAGCGUUGUCCGGAAUUACUGGGUGUAAAGGGCGUGUAGGUGGGCUCUUAAGCCGGUGUGAAAUCUUGCAGCUUAACUGCAAAAUUGCCGUCGAUACUGGGGGCCUUGAGUACGGCAGAGGGAGGUGGAAUUCAUGGUGUAGCGGUGAAAUGUGUAGAUAUCAUGAAGAACACCGGUAGCGAAGGCGGUCUCCUGGUCCAUCACUGACACUGAGGCGCGAAAGCGUGGGGAGC